GUGCGUUCCAUCAACAAUGAUGCGCUGAACCUCCAUACUUGAAGCUUAGUGAGAAAAUAUAUUAGAAACUACAAAGGUUUGGAGUGUUAGGCAGGGCCUUGCAAAUGAUGUCGGUCAACGUGAGAGUGAGGGAGUCAGUGGUGGUGAAGCCAGAGGAGGAAACGCCAAAACGGGCGCUGUGGAUAUCGGACUUGGAUAUCGUGAUUUCGGCAACUCACCUUGGAAGUGUUUACUUCUACAGGAGGCCAAACGUUCAAAACGGCGCACAUCAUCUUCAAAACAACUGUGUCUUGGAUUCGGAGGUGCUCAAGUGCUCCCUUGCCAAGGCCCUCGUGCCCUUCUACCCCGUGGCCGGCCGCCUGAAGCUGAACGAUGAGGGACGUAUCGAGAUCGAUUGCAAUGGAGAGGGAGUGCUGUUUGUUGUGGCGGAGACUGACUCGGUCCUCGAUGAGUUCGGGGACUUUGCGCCGACUCUUGAGUUCCGGAAGCUCGUUCCUGCCGUUGAUUAUUCCGCUGGGAUAUCCUCUUAUCCCCUCUUGGUCGUACAGGUAUUCAGAGAAAGAGAGGAGACAUUUUUUCACUCCCUUUCUUUUAUUUCUCUUGCUCAUAAUAUCAUCCGGGACAAUUCUUGAACCUGAUAUGACUUAAACUUACAAAGUACGGUUCUGGUUUUACUCUGUUUAUGCAUCAGGUCACAUACUUCAAAUGUGGUGGAGUGUCACUUGGUGUUGGCCUGGAACAUCGUGUAGCAGAUGGCUUUUCUGGUCUCCACUUUGUAAAUACAUGGUCUGAUAUCGCUCGAGGUCUUGACCUUACAAUUCCACCAUUCAUCGACAGGACAUUACUUCGUGCCCGAGACCCACCACAGCCUGCAUUCGAUCACAUUGAAUACCAACCUGAUCCACCCAUUAAAACCGGUACAAAAGCUGUAGGUGAUGAGAGCGCAACGGUAUCCAUUUUUAGAUUGACAAGGGAGCAGCUCAACAUCUUGAAAGCCAAGUCUAAGGAAGAUGGGAACACAAUCAACUAUACCACAUAUGAGAUGUUGGCAGGUCAUAUUUGGAAAUGCGCAUCCGUGGCACGUGAACUUCCUGAUGAUCAAGAGACCAAACUACAUAUUGCAGUUGAU
rnacentral:lncRNA from 1 species